rnacentral:tmRNA from 1 species
GGGGGUGCACCGGUUUCGACUGGCGCGGUUCGGGGCUCAGGCUGCAGGUGGAGCGCCGGUCUCCUAACAUUCGGCACCAAUACAAUUGCCAGAAAUGACAAUUACGGCUACGCUUUAGCAGCGUAAUCGCGCGGGAUAGUUCCACCGCCUUGAGGAGCUGUUUUCCGUGUCGCAACCAGGGCUGGUCUUAAUAAGGUGUUCGUCCUUUUUAAGACAAGAUUUUUCGAACUCGGGGCAAGUCGCAAGCCGUGAAGCUAAACUUGCCCUUACAAACUAAAACACGGCUAAACCUGUAGACGUUUGAGGCUUGCGCGUUAGGACAUGGGUUCGAUUCCCAUCACCUCCA